rnacentral:sRNA from 1 species
GCACCUGCCACUACACCCAGCUAAUUUUGUAUUUUUAGUAGAGCCUGGGUUUCCCCAUGUUGGCCAGGCUGGUCUCAAACUCCUGAGCUCAACUGAUCCACCCUCCUUGGCCUCCCAAAAUGCAUACAGGCAUGAGCCACCAUGCCUGAUCUUGUAUAACUUUUACUGGGAAAUCUCUGCAAUUUAGAGACUAUCUGAACAUUUUUAAAUAGCCACAAUAGCUGAUUCUGUUUCAGUGAAGUCCCACAAGAACAAAUACUCUCUCAGUUAAUUCUUUCAAGGUAUUUUAGAAAAAGAGAGAGAGACAAGCAGGAAGGAAAUGUAGGUUUGGGGUUUUUUUCAUGAUUUAUACAUAAGCAUGUAUAUUCCUUGAUUAAAGAUGUUUCUGGUUAGUUUUGUGCAAUAACAUUCAAAAUGGAUGCUUCUGAUUGAUGUAGUUUUAGUGUCCAAUGAGUGAUUUAACAAAAUUAUUUGCCUAGUAAUGGUUUUGAAAAUAAUUUGAUCUCCUUCUUGGUGAUAUUUAAAGAAGGAGCUAAUAGGAGGAACAUUCACUUUUGUUAUGAAGCCAUUUUGAUAAGGAUUGAAACAGGAAACAGAGUAAAACAACACAGUGCUACCCAAGUGAAGCUAGUGACUGAGCUGUGUUCACAUGUCCAGUAUCAGCUAAACUCAUGGUUUUUUUGGUUUCCAUGGUUUCUUUUUCUUGGUUUAUCAAAGGAUUCAGAAAAAAGAUUUCAAGAAAAGAUAGAGUUCCUAGAAGCACCAUUAAUUUUUGUGUCCCAUUCUUUUUUUUAUACUCAAAAUACUAAAUGUUUGUAGUUUCCAUGUUUUGGGGACAUCCAAAUAUGCUAGUUAUUUCAAAAAUGCUUUGAGGUCCUUGGACAGAAGCCAUUGUAAUAGCACUGUACUAAAUAUUUGACAAAGGGCUUAUACAUGAAAGGAGAUGUGUAGUAUUAAUACAAACAUAAAAUACUGCUGUAUUGAUAUCAUGUCACGGUAAGGCACUCUGCACCCUCUUGAAUAUAAAAGAAUAUUUCUACAUUUGGUUCCAGCAAACACUAUUGUGCUAUUCUGAAAUCCACAGCACAGAAAUUAUAAGACAUCCGCUCAUAAACAGAAAGCAAAUCACUAUUCAGCAUUUCCUGCUCUGUUUCCUGCCAAUUUCAGAUAAUUAAAACUUUUUUUAAACCUUUUAUUCUAUUCUGCUUUAAUUCUGCUUCCUCCACCAAAAAAAAAGAUUUAGAAAUUAAAACUCUGUGUAUAUAAGUCACAGUCCUUUUUUUUUUCUUAUCGUGUGAUAAUAUCUCAUUCUUCAUUAUUGCAGACCUCAGGAUAUCAUUGUGUUUGUAAUUGGAGGAGCUACCUAUGAAGAGGCUCUAACAGUUUAUAACCUGAACCGCACCACUCCUGGAGUGAGGAUUGUCCUGGGAGGCACCACAGUGCACAACACGAAAAGUUUCCUAGAGGAAGUUCUGGCUUCUGGACUGCACAGCCGAAGCAAGGAGAGCUCUCAAGUCACAUCAAGGUCAGCGAGCAGAAGAUGAAACGGUGGUUGGGGGAAGAGCACAGCUUCCUCUCUUGCCCCCAGUACAGGCUUUCCCUACUAACCAGAGGUGUUGGAGAGCAGCUCUGGGUUCUGUGCUGGUUGUUAGAACUCAUCUCCAGGUAGCCCA